AGAGUUUGAUCCUGGCUCAGGAUGAACGCUAGCGGCAGGCUUAACACAUGCAAGUCGAGGGGCAACGCGAGUAGCAAUACUUGGCGGCGACCGGCGCAAGGGUGCGUAACGCGUGAGCAACAUGCCCGUAUCAGGGGGAUAAUCCAGGGAAACUUGGUCUAAUACCCCAUAGUAAUUUCGUAAGGCAUCUUAUGGGAUUUAAAGCUUUGGUGGAUACGGAUUGGCUCGCGUGACAUUAGCUGGAUGGUAAGGUAACGGCUUACCAUGGCAAUGAUGUCUAGGGGUUCUGAGAGGAAGGUCCCCCACACUGGAACUGAGACACGGUCCAGACUCCUACGGGAGGCAGCAGUGAGGAAUAUUGGACAAUGGAUCGAAAUCUGAUCCAGCCAUGCCGCGUGAAGGAAGAAUGUCCUAUGGAUUGUAAACUUCUUUUGUAUGGGAGCAAUAAGGUAUUCGUGAAUACUGAUGAGAGUACCAUACGAAUAAGCAUCGGCUAACUCCGUGCCAGCAGCCGCGGUAAUACGGAAGAUGCGAGCGUUAUCCGGAUUUAUUGGGUUUAAAGGGUGCGUAGGCUGUUAUAUAAGUCAGUGGUGAAAUAUUCGGGCUCAACCGGGAUACUGCCAUUGAUACUGUAUAGCUGGAAUAUGGUUGCUGUGGGUGGAAUGUGUGGUGUAGCGGUGAAAUGCAUAGAUAUCACACAGAAUAUCGAUUGCGAAGGCAACUCACAAAGCCAUUAUUGACGCUGAUGCACGAAAGUGUGGGGAUCAAACAGGAUUAGAUACCCUGGUAGUCCACACUGUAAACGAUGAUAACUAGCUGUCGGCGAUACACAGUCGGUGGCCAAGCGAAAGCGAUAAGUUAUCCACCUGGGGAGUACGACCGCAAGGUUGAAACUCAAAUGAAUUGACGG
rnacentral:rRNA from 1 species